ACUGUGCAAGAAACUACAGCCUGGGGGCCACCGAAGGGCAACCUGCCCUGAUCACAACCCACCAACGUGGCAGUGACCAAUGUCUCAGGUCCCGGUACCACUUCCGUUGAACUCUUUGGAGAUCUACACAUGGUAGGAAUCAACCAAAUAACUCAACUUUGCCCACAACCGCCAAGGAACUAUUACGUAAAGGGAGCUGGCGUCUGACGGCAGAACAGACCGGGGCUCUCUGACCAGUGGGGGCAGGGAGCUCCAGCACCAGGAACAGAACAGCUCCCUGCGAUGCCUAAAAAGCUCCUCUUUUCUUUGAGUGAGGCUCCACAGUUAGGAGGACCAGCGAGAGAGACCUUUGCAUGCCGUGCCCUCCCGGAACGGGGCACUUACAGGAGAAGGAAGGAAGGCAGUAGACAGUCUCCAGGUGGAGGAUGCCCAGGGCACCGGAGAAGAACAGCAACCACCAACCACCGGAGUGAGGCAGCUCCAGGGAGCUGGUCUUCUUGUCCCGUAUACAAGGGGGGCUGUCCCCAGGAUGCUGUCACGCCACCGGUGCCCAGGUCCUACAGGUUUUCCCACAACUUAUUUGUUUACCUCAUGGCUUCUGCCUUCCCACAGCCCUGUCACUCACGGCAUCUGGUUGCUUUCCUUCCAGGCUUCUGGACAACUUCAGAAUCUGUCCUUCCAAGGGGACACUAAGAUCUGGAGUUCUCUUAUAGGUCAGACGUCCCAUGGCAGCCUCCGUAGAGUCCUACACGACCCUCUGGCACGAAGUGCUAAGACAGACCGAGACACCACAAAGUAAGGAGUGGGGGAGGGGCCUGGGGGACAUGGACACAGGAUGGACCCACGCAACAGGAAGUACCUGGAGUUUUGUUCCUAAGGGGCUGAGGGAAGCAAAGCACCUUGCCCAGGACAAUCUCUGCCUUCCUUACCCAUUGUGAUGGUUAGUAUUGAUUGAUCAUCAGCUCGACGAAAUCUGUGGUCACCUGGGAGAUGGACAUGCCUCUGAGGGAGUGUCUAGACUGGGUUAACUGAAGUGGAUGAUCUGGAUUGGGUUCCUCACACUCCGCACCAUCCCAUGGGGUGAUGUCAUAGAUGGAGAAAAAGGGAAGAGGAUGCUGAGCAUCGACCUUCAUCACACUCUGCUUCCCGCCUGCAGAUGUAACAUGGCCAGCCACCUCGGGUUCCUACCACCAUACUUCCCUGCCAUGAUGGGCAGUAUCCCUUGGGACAAUAAGCCAAAAUUACUCCUUCCUUCCUUCCCUCCUUUCUUCCCUUCUUCCUUCUUUCCUUCCUUCCUUCCCUCCUUCCUUCCUUCAAUCACUUUUGCCGGGUAUUUUGGUGUAGCAGCAAGGGAAGUAACUAAUAACAUACUGGGCUACCCAGUCUUCUCUCACAGUUUAAGGUGUCAGUAAUCCUGAAGCCCACACUGAAGCUAGCACAAGCAGAGCUCACGCCAGGGAGCCAUACACUACUGUAAGGAUGAAAAGUCAGUUCUCUAACGCCGAACACCAAAGGCCCUGAACUCGCACACCACAGAGGGGGAAACUCUGGGAGAGUCCAAUCAGGCACAAGAACAGCCUCUCAGGGAACGCCCACCGU